GGGUUGUGAGGUUAAGCGACUAAGCGUACACGGUGGAUGCCCUGGCAGUCAGAGGCGAUGAAGGACGUGCUAAUCUGCGAUAAGCGUCGGUAAGGUGAUAUGAACCGUUAUAACCGGCGAUUUCCGAAUGGGGAAACCCAGUGUGUUUCGACACACUAUCAUUAACUGAAUCCAUAGGUUAAUGAGGCGAACCGGGGGAACUGAAACAUCUAAGUACCCCGAGGAAAAGAAAUCAACCGAGAUUCCCCCAGUAGCGGCGAGCGAACGGGGAGCAGCCCAGAGCCUGAAUCAGUGUGUGUGUUAGUGGAAGCGUCUGGAAAGGCGCGCGAUACAGGGUGACAGCCCCGUACACAAAAUGCACAUACUGUGAGCUCGAUGAGUAGGGCGGGACACGUGGUAUCCUGUCUGAAUAUGGGGGGACCAUCCUCCAAGGCUAAAUACUCCUGACUGACCGAUAGUGAACCAGUACCGUGAGGGAAAGGCGAAAAGAACCCCGGCGAGGGGAGUGAAAAAGAACCUGAAACCGUGUACGUACAAGCAGUGGGAGCACGCUUAGGCGUGUGACUGCGUACCUUUUGUAUAAUGGGUCAGCGACUUAUAUUCUGUAGCAAGGUUAACCGAAUAGGGGAGCCGAAGGGAAACCGAGUCUUAACUGGGCGUUAAGUUGCAGGGUAUAGACCCGAAACCCGGUGAUCUAGCCAUGGGCAGGUUGAAGGUUGGGUAACACUAACUGGAGGACCGAACCGACUAAUGUUGAAAAAUUAGCGGAUGACUUGUGGCUGGGGGUGAAAGGCCAAUCAAACCGGGAGAUAGCUGGUUCUCCCCGAAAGCUAUUUAGGUAGCGCCUCGUGAAUUCAUCUCCGGGGGUAGAGCACUGUUUCGGCAAGGGGGUCAUCCCGACUUACCAACCCGAUGCAAACUGCGAAUACCGGAGAAUGUUAUCACGGGAGACACACGGCGGGUGCUAACGUCCGUCGUGAAGAGGGAAACAACCCAGACCGCCAGCUAAGGUCCCAAAGUCAUGGUUAAGUGGGAAACGAUGUGGGAAGGCCCAGACAGCCAGGAUGUUGGCUUAGAAGCAGCCAUCAUUUAAAGAAAGCGUAAUAGCUCACUGGUCGAGUCGGCCUGCGCGGAAGAUGUAACGGGGCUAAACCAUGCACCGAAGCUGCGGCAGCGACGCUGAUGCGUUGUUGGGUAGGGGAGCGUUCUGUAAGCCUGCGAAGGUGUGCUGUGAGGCAUGCUGGAGGUAUCAGAAGUGCGAAUGCUGACAUAAGUAACGAUAAAGCGGGUGAAAAGCCCGCUCGCCGGAAGACCAAGGGUUCCUGUCCAACGUUAAUCGGGGCAGGGUGAGUCGACCCCUAAGGCGAGGCCGAAAGGCGUAGUCGAUGGGAAACAGGUUAAUAUUCCUGUACUUGGUGUUACUGCGAAGGGGGGACGGAGAAGGCUAUGUUGGCCGGGCGACGGUUGUCCCGGUUUAAGCGUGUAGGCUGGUUUUCCAGGCAAAUCCGGAAAAUCAAGGCUGAGGCGUGAUGACGAGGCACUACGGUGCUGAAGCAACAAAUGCCCUGCUUCCAGGAAAAGCCUCUAAGCAUCAGGUAACAUCAAAUCGUACCCCAAACCGACACAGGUGGUCAGGUAGAGAAUACCAAGGCGCUUGAGAGAACUCGGGUGAAGGAACUAGGCAAAAUGGUGCCGUAACUUCGGGAGAAGGCACGCUGAUAUGUAGGUGAAGCGACUUGCUCGUGGAGCUGAAAUCAGUCGAAGAUACCAGCUGGCUGCAACUGUUUAUUAAAAACACAGCACUGUGCAAACACGAAAGUGGACGUAUACGGUGUGACGCCUGCCCGGUGCCGGAAGGUUAAUUGAUGGGGUCAGCGCAAGCGAAGCUCUUGAUCGAAGCCCCGGUAAACGGCGGCCGUAACUAUAACGGUCCUAAGGUAGCGAAAUUCCUUGUCGGGUAAGUUCCGACCUGCACGAAUGGCGUAAUGAUGGCCAGGCUGUCUCCACCCGAGACUCAGUGAAAUUGAACUCGCUGUGAAGAUGCAGUGUACCCGCGGCAAGACGGAAAGACCCCGUGAACCUUUACUAUAGCUUGACACUGAACAUUGAGCCUUGAUGUGUAGGAUAGGUGGGAGGCUUUGAAGUGUGGACGCCAGUCUGCAUGGAGCCGACCUUGAAAUACCACCCUUUAAUGUUUGAUGUUCUAACGUUGACCCGUGAUCCGGGUUGCGGACAGUGUCUGGUGGGUAGUUUGACUGGGGCGGUCUCCUCCUAAAGAGUAACGGAGGAGCACGAAGGUUGGCUAAUCCUGGUCGGACAUCAGGAGGUUAGUGCAAUGGCAUAAGCCAGCUUGACUGCGAGCGUGACGGCGCGAGCAGGUGCGAAAGCAGGUCAUAGUGAUCCGGUGGUUCUGAAUGGAAGGGCCAUCGCUCAACGGAUAAAAGGUACUCCGGGGAUAACAGGCUGAUACCGCCCAAGAGUUCAUAUCGACGGCGGUGUUUGGCACCUCGAUGUCGGCUCAUCACAUCCUGGGGCUGAAGUAGGUCCCAAGGGUAUGGCUGUUCGCCAUUUAAAGUGGUACGCGAGCUGGGUUUAGAACGUCGUGAGACAGUUCGGUCCCUAUCUGCCGUGGGCGCUGGAGAACUGAGGGGGGCUGCUCCUAGUACGAGAGGACCGGAGUGGACGCAUCACUGGUGUUCGGGUUGUCAUGCCAAUGGCACUGCCCGGUAGCUAAAUGCGGAAGAGAUAAGUGCUGAAAGCAUCUAAGCACGAAACUUGCCCCGAGAUGAGUUCUCCCUGACUCCUUGAGAGUCCUGAAGGAACGUUGAAGACGACGACGUUGAUAGGCCGGGUGUGUAAGCGCAGCGAUGCGUUGAGCUAACCGGUACUAAUGAACCGUGAGGCUUAACCUUACAACGCCGAAGCUGUU
rnacentral:rRNA from 1 species